UGUACGGAACCUUUGAGAGAUACAGAGGGGUGCUCGAAAGAGAGCCGUAACACAGGUGCUGCAUGGCUGUCGUCAGCUCGUGUCGUGAGAUGUUGGGUUAAGUCCCGCAACGAGCGCAACCCUUGUCAUUAGUUGCUACGAAAGGGCACUCUAAUGAGACUGCCGGUGACAAACCGGAGGAAGGUGGGGAUGACGUCAAGUCCUCAUGGCCCUUAUGGGUAGGGCUUCACACGUCAUACAAUGGUCGGUACAGAGGGUAGCCAACCCGCGAGGGGGAGCCAAUCCCAGAAAGCCGAUCGUAGUCCGGAUCGCAGUCUGCAACUCGACUGCGUGAAGUCGGAAUCGCUAGUAAUCGCGGAUCAGCAUGUCGCGGUGAAUACGUUCCCGGGUCUU
rnacentral:rRNA from 1 species